rnacentral:rRNA from 1 species
CCCUUAGAUGUUCUGGGCCGCACGCGCGCUACACUGAUGCAUUCAACGAGUUUCUUCCUGGUCCGAGAGGAAUGGGUAACCUUUUGAAAGUGCAUCGUGAUAGGGAUAGACUAUUGCAAUUAUUGGUCUUCAACGAGGAAUUCCUAGUAGACGUAGUUCAUCAGACUGCAUCGAUUACGUCCCUGCCCUUUGUACACACCGCCCGUCGCUCCUACCGAUUGAAUGCUCAGGUGAGCCAUUCGGACUUUCAUCAUGCUGUUUUCCAGUUUUGAUGAAGGAAAGUCUUGCGAACCUUAUCAUUUAGAGGAAGGAGAAGUCGUAACA